AACGCAAAUCGUUCUAUCGCUCCCGAGCAAUCGGGUGAGGAAAGUCCGGGCAGCGCAGAGAAUCCGGCCAGGUGAAAGCCUGGGGGCUCCGAAAGGAAUUUCGGGGCAACAGCAAGUGCUACAGAAAAUAUACCGCCCUGAGCUUGCUUGGGGUAAGGGUGAAAAGGUGAGGUAAGAGCUCACCAGUUGCAGCAGCAAUGUUGUAAGCUAGUAAACCUCCGGAGCUGUAAGAUCAAAUAUACCAGGGCUUAAGGGCUUCUCGUCCGACCUGGAGGGUAGAUUGCUAGUGCUUCGGGGUAACCUGAAGUCCAGAUAAAUGAUAGAACUCGACAGAACCUGGCUUACAGAUUUGCAUUUUUU
rnacentral:RNase_P_RNA from 1 species